rnacentral:lncRNA from 1 species
ACUACUACAUAUAAAAUAGAUGGGUAACAAGGACCUGCUAUAUAGCACAGGACAAUCUACUCAGUAGUGUAUAAUUACCUAUAAGAGGAAAAGAAUCUGAAAAGGAAUUUAUAUAUGUAUAGAUGAUUUACUUUGCUAUAUGCCUGAAGUUGACACAAUUUUGUAAGUCAACUAUAUUCUAAAAAAAAAAUUUAAAGAACCGACCAUGCACACAGUACUAUGCAAAGCAAUGAAGAAAUACAAAUAAGAUAAAAGUCUCUGCCUUCUAAGAACCAACAGCCUGAUGGUGAGAUCAGAUCCAUAGAAGACUAGAAGCAGAAAACUAAUUGGGGGUUUGAUGCAUCAGUCCUGAUGAGGAACAAUGAAGCUCUGACCUAAAGCAGAAGAAGCAGGAGAAGGAUGGGGGCAGCAGAAAAGGAACUUAAGAGAAUUAAAACACAGUUAUACAAUGUAUAUUCUGUGCAAAACAGGAACAAUGUGUUAGAUUGAUGACAUAUUAUAAGUUCAAAAAAGAACCUCCCCAUCAGCAUGACUCUCCUUCAAAGAGAAUUCUCUUAGAAUGACUGGAAGCUGAGUUAGUAGGAUGAGAAGGAAUGAAAUCAGAACUAGGAUAUUGUGGGAUAGUCAUAGUUCCAAAGACCCACAAGACUGACCACAGUUAAAAACCUCAUCUGUGAGGAGCUCAUCAAACUUCACAGAUGAGCAUAUAUCCCAUGCUUGGUUUAAGUAUCAAACAGUAAAUCUGAAAAGCCCUAGAUAGAGCACUCUUCUGCUAACUUGGAAGCCAGGUGGAUGAGACAUUGACUGGGAGAGUUUUGUUUUUAUUUUUACUUUUUAAGGGCUACAGGCAUGGCAUAUGGAAGUUCCCAGGCUAGGGGUCAAAUCAGAGCUACAGGCUACACCACAGCAAUGCCAAGCCACAUCUGUAACCUACACCACAGCUCAAGGCAAUGCUGGAUCCUUAACCCACUGAGUGGGGCCAGCGAUCAAACCCACAUCCUCAUAGAUACUAGUCAGGAUCAUUUCCGCUGAGCCGCAACAGGAACUCCCAAGUUUGUUUGUUUUUAAUUAAAGAUGAAGGCAUUUUGAACCAGAAAUAAGAAUAUUUAGGGUUAUUAUCUGCUUUAAAUAAAUCAUACUCCAUUAUGAACAGUGUUGUUUUUUUUUAAUUCUCCUAUGGAAGUAGCAGACGCUAUAGAAGGGAUUCAUGGAGAGAGGACAUUUCACAGACACCCCUGCAGCGCUGAGAGUAUUACCCCCAGGGUAACUGCUCUGCAGGAAUGUGUGCAACAGCAAGUAAUAUACAUGAAUACAAGAUCAGAAGCACAUUGCCGAAUUUUGCUGAGGCAGAAAACUGGGAGGGAUUGAAUGUUAAUCAUAAAGAGAAAGAAAAUCCUACAGUCAGUAUAUCAUCGGCUUGAUAUUACUUGAUAAGAGAAUCUAAAAUAUAGCACAAACGAACUUAUCUAAAAAACAGAGACAGACAUAGAGAACAGAAUGGUGGUUGCCAUGGGGAAGGGGGGAGGAAGUGGGAUGGACUGGGAGUUUGGGGUUGGUAGAUGCAAACUAUUACAUUUAGAAUGUAAAACUGAUGAAGUUCUACUGUACAGCACAGGGAAUUAUUUCUACUCUCUUGGGAUAGAACAUGAUGGAUGAUAGUAUGAGAAAAAGAAUGCGUGUAUGCGUGUGCGUGUGUGUGUGUGAAUGUAUAUGAGACUGAGUCACUAUGCUAGGUAGCACAAAUUGGCACAACACUGUAAAUCAACUAUACUUUAAUAAAAAAUGGGAGGGGAGGGUGUCCAGCCUACGUGAAUCCCAUCAUGGACAAAUAGGGGACAACAUCACACACAAGGAUUCAUAGACACAGAACUACAGGAAGGUAAAGAAAGAAGACUUGGACCAGAUCUAAGGUAAAUGCUCCUAGCUUUUUCUUCACUAAUGCUAAGUGUUCUCAUAGGCCCCAGGAAACAGAGCAGCAGCACCAUAGCUAUCUAUCAUUCAAGGGUUACAAUAAGACACAUGUAUAGCCAUUUGAAAAUAGAUUUUGGAGCAAAUGCACUUCAGACUUAUCCAAACCAGAUUUACCCAACUGAUUACAACUGCCAAGGCCAAUCAUCCUAGCAAAAUGGCUGUGUCCAUUCUGGAAGUGCUUCAAAUUUGUCCAUAUUUUUCCCCAGUAAAUGUUUUAUGAGAAGGCUUCAGGUUUGUUUUGGGGGUUUUGUUGCUGUUGUUUAUUUUGUUUUUAUGUUUCAGGCAACAAAUUCCAUGUUUGGCAAAUUAACUCUUGAAAAUUUCCAAUCUGUUUCCUUACUAGGGUUUUGUAGGAGAAGCAGAAUAAAUUUAACUCCCUUCCUCCACACCCUUGUUCUCAUGGUGCUGACCCACAUUUCUUAGUCCUUUCCUCAACUCCUUUUGUGAUAAGUGUAAUAAGUGUGUGUGUGCCACAAAUUAUUACUCCUUAAUAUGUGGUCAAUCAGAUUAUUCUUUUCCACUACUCAAAACCUUCUAGUGGCAGAGUUCCUGUCAUGGUUCAGUGGAAACUAAUCUGACUACCAUCCGCAAGGACACAGGUUUGAUCUCUGGCCUCGCUCAGUGGGUUAAGGAUCUGGUGUUGCCAUGAGCUGUGGUAGAGGUCACAGAUACGGCUCAGAUCCCGUGUUGCUAUGGCUGCGGUGUAGGCCAGCAGCUGUAGCUCCAAUUGAACCCUUAGGCUGAGAACCUCUCUCUAUAUGCCACAGGUGUGCCCUAAAAAGAUUUUUAAAAAAUAAAAGCCAAGGGGUAGGGGGAGGGGGGGUUGGGAGGUUGGGGUUAAUAGAUGCAAAUUAUUGCCUUUGGAAUGGAUUAGCAAUGAGAUCCUGCUGUGUAGCACUGGGAAAUAUGUCUAGUCACUUAUGAUGGAGCAUGAUGAUGUCAGAAAAUAGAAUGUGUACAUGUAUGUGUACCUGGGUCACCAUGCUGUGCAGUAGAAAAAAAUGUAUUGGGGAAAUAAUUACAAAAUUAAUUAAAAAAACAAAAAUAAAGGCAAAACUUGAAAUAAAAAAAUAAUAAGAUAAAAAUCUAAUAAGAUUUUUAGUGAAAUAAAAUAUUAAAAAAUAAAACCUUCUAGUGGCCUCCCUUCCCAUGCUUGAAGGAAAAAAAAAAAGGAAGCGGGGAGGGGGAGUCCCUUAUCAGAGAAGCCUUAUUGGCUACUAUAUUUAAAUGACAUCUCACCCAAAUCACAUCCUUAUCACAUGAUAUGUAUAUUUGUGUUUAUUGUUUCCCUCUCUGCCUAGAGAUUUUAACUAUUUGGAUCACAAAGUCUGUAUAUAGUAGCUGCUUAAUAAAAUUUGAAUUAGUAGAAUGAAAAGUCUCUAAUUUUUUAUUUUUUGUACAUCAUGCUGACUCACUUCUGCUAUCUUCAUAAAUCACAUGCAAGGCAACCUACUUCUCCCUUUCAUCUACCUCCACAUGAAGACAGGCCAAUGGAAAUUCUGCCCCUAAUUCAAAGCAGAAGCCAGAGGGCUUCUGUCCUACAUUUGUCUCUAUGAUCAGACACAAUCUCUCUGUCCAGACAUCAAAGAGCCACCUUGCUGGCAUGCCCUCUCUCCCAGGGACUCCUCUUGCUUUCCCUUUUCCUGAGUAAUAAGCCUUUGAAUAAUGUGCAGUCACUGUCUAUUGAUGUCUUAUACCUGAACCUGAAACAGAGAAAGGGCAACAGACCAUCUUAAACUGGCUGGCCCUUCCGCAUUCACUGGGCCCUCCCAGCAAAGGAAGUCAGAAGACUGUCCCCACUUAUCACCCUGAUUCCCAACGCUUCCACUGAACCAUUCCUCAAUCUGGACUUGAUCAUACUUUGAAGCCUCUCAGCUGCUAACCCUAUGUCUCAUCCUGCAAUCCCCCUCUUUGCCUCUCCCUCAGGGAAAACAUUAGCUUCACUCAGUCCUCAACAAGGAAGGAGUCCACUGCACUCUGGUUCUGCUGCCACUGGUCACAUGUGAUAGACAUCAUCUGGACCUUGUUUGCCCAGCAUCAGGAAAACCUCUGUGCCCCAAAGGGAACUCUCCUGCAGAGGGGGCAAGAGGGAAUCGAGGCUUCCAUAAAUAGCAAAUAUUUUCCGUCGCUAGUACAUGUUUAGCCAUUCUUAGAUAAUCUUAUUGUUUUAAUAUAGUUUUGAACUAGAGAACCCCUCUAGGUAUUUCAGGGGUCACUAAUUCACAUCCUCAUGGCCACCAGGCAGGUGUCAUAAGUGUGAGAAGUGGCGGGGUAUAACACAGCAGAGACUGUCAAGACUGGAGCCAGUGGAGAGCACAAAUCUUGCCUAAGGGCUUUUUAAUGCAGGCAUGUUUACAUUAUUUUACGCCGGCCAAAUGAAACAGAUCUUUGGGCUGGAUUCAGCUCAUAGGCUACUAGACUGUAGGCCUGAGGUGCAAUUAAUGUAAGAUACCUGAAUCUGGUAGGAUAAAUGAACCGCUUUGAAUAUGAUAGUAUUUCUCAAUCUUGACUACACCUAAUCAAUGCAAGACUUAAAAACUACUGAUGGCUGGGAUUCCAACCCUAGAGAUUCUGAUACAAUUAUGUAAAUGAGCCUAGGCACAAGGCACUUUGAAAGCUCCUAAAUGAUUCAUGCAUACCCAAGUAAGCACUACUCCUUUCAAGGAUCCUUUUAAUGAAACGUACCAGGCAGCUGGUAGCAUAAGUGAAGUACACAUGUACAAGCCUUACUCCCAAAGUAGCCAACAUUUUUUUUUUAAAUAAAGAGUAGCACAAACUUGAAAGAAAAGCAAGUUGAUUGUAAGAGAAACAUACACAGCAGAUAUUUAGGCAACAACAGUUUUCAUAGUAAUACAGUGCAUAAACUUAAUAUAACAUAAAAUUGGUAACCAAAAGUUUCCCCGAUGGCAUCUUAGUAGAACAAAAUGCUUUAAGCACAAAAUGUACCCUCCUCACUGCAUAUCCAAAAGAACUGGUAUUAUUUCAGGAAGAACAACUCAUCUCCAAGGGUCUGUGCAACAUUUCUGGAAUACGAACAUUAAAAGAAACCAUGUUUUCCUUAGAAGACUCAUGGGCAUACAUACCAGAAGGUUCAUUUCAAUCCAAGCCCAAGGAUUUACCCACAGAUGUUGUAAGUAUCAACCCCCUCACUGCCUUGUGGUAAAAAUGACGAAACUGAAAAACUUCAGUAGCCAAAGGAUAGGGAAAUUGUGCUUCUCUAGUGCAGUCGUGAGAUGGGAGACAGGACGAAGUCAUUUUUAAAAGGUUCACUUAUUUUUUGUUUACCUAUGAACCAUAUUCUUUGGAAAAAAAAAAAACCAUAAUUUCUAACAAUGUCUUCUGUAAAUACUCAAGAAUUCACAUUCUUGGAAAUUGCUACAUUGGGAUUCCUGGAUCCCUUAACCAUGGUAUUGCAGUGCCUUUUCAAUCAAUCUAACCACAUCCAGAAGCAGAGAGUUUGGUAAGCACACAAAUUUCUUGAAUGAUGC